UGCCAGACUCCUACGGGAGGCAGCAGUGAGGAAUAUUGGUCAAUGGCCGAGAGGCUGAACCAGCCAAGUCGCGUGAGGGAAGACGGCCCUACGGGUUGUAAACCUCUUUUGUCGGGGAGCAAAGCGAACCACGUGUGGUUCAUUGAGAGUACCCGAAGAAAAAGCAUCGGCUAACUCCGUGCCAGCAGCCGCGGUAAUACGGAGGAUGCGAGCGUUAUCCGGAUUUAUUGGGUUUAAAGGGUGCGUAGGCGGGCUGUUAAGUCAGCGGUAAAAUGUCGGGGCUCAACCCCGGCCUGCCGUUGAAACUGGCGGCCUCGAGUGGGCGAGAAGUAUGCGGAAUGCGUGGUGUAGCGGUGAAAUGCAUAGAUAUCACGCAGAACUCCGAUUGCGAAGGCAGCAUACCGGCGCCCUACUGACGCUGAGGCACGAAAGCGUGGGUAUCGAACAGGAUUAGAUACCCUAGUA
rnacentral:rRNA from 1 species